AGAGGUGCCAAGCGUUAGGCGGAAUCACUGGGCUUAAAGCGUGUGUAGGCGGAUCGUUAAGUACCUUGUGAAAUCCCACGGCUCAACCGUGGAACUGCUGGGUAUACUGGCGAUCUUGAGCCACCUAGGGGCGAGCGGAACAAGCGGUGGAGCGGUGAAAUGCGUAGAUAUCGCUUGGAACGCCAAUGGUGAAAACAGUUCGCUGGGGGUGUGCUGACGCUGAGACACGAAAGCCAGGGGAGCGAACGGGAUUAGAUACCCCGGUAGUCCUGGCCCUAAACGAUGUCGACUAGAUCGUAGUGCCUCUGACGGUAUUACGGUCGAAGCAAAAGUGCUAAGUCGACCGCCUGGGAAGUACGGUCGCAAGGCUA
rnacentral:rRNA from 1 species